UACGACCAGGGCUACACACGUGCUACAAUGGCGCAUACAAAGAGAAGCGACCUCGCGAGAGCAAGCGGACCUCAUAAAGUGCGUCGUAGUCCGGAUUGGAGUCUGCAACUCGACUCCAUGAAGUCGGAAUCGCUAGUAAUCGUGGAUCAGAAUGCCACGGUGAAUACGUUCCCGGGCCUUGUACACACCGCCCGUCACACCAUGGGAGUGGGUUGCAAAAGAAGUAGGUAGCUUAACCUUCGGGAGGGCGCUUACCACUUUGUGAUUCAUGACUGGGGUGAAGUCGUAACAAGGUAACCGUAGGGGAACCUGCGGUUGGA
rnacentral:rRNA from 3 species